UUAUGAGGCCUUGUAUAGAAGGAAGUGUAGAUUGCCUUUGUGUUGGACAGAAUUAAGUGAGAGGAGUAUCAUUGGUCCAGAAAUUGUAGAGCAGACCACUCAGAAGAUCGCUAUGAUUAAACAAAAAUUGCUAACAGCUCAAAGCCGACAGAAGAACUAUGCCGAUAAGAGGAGACGGCUGUUAGAGUUUGAAUUAGGAGAUCAUGUAUUUUUAAAGGUUUCUCCGGUGAUAAGCAUUGGUAGAUCCAUUAAGGCAAAGAAGUUGACAGCUAGAUUUAUGGGCCCAUAUGAGAUCUUGGAGCAAAUUGGACCUGCUGCAUAUAGAGUUGCAUUGCCUCCACAGAUUGCAGGUAUCCAUAAUGUGUUCCACGUAUCACAGUUGAAGAAGUACAACCCGGAUUCCUCCCAUGUUAUUGAACCUAAAGAAGUGGAAUUGAGGGAGAAUUUGACCUUUAAAUCUGAACCGGAGCGAAUUGAGGACUUUAAGGAUAAACAACUGCGCAAUAAGACCAUCAGACUCGUGAAGGUGAUUUAGAAGGGUGGAGCCCUAGGUGAUACUACCUGGGAGACCGAGGAGAGUAUGAGGCGAGAUUAUCCACAUUUAUUUGCUUAGAUUAUAUUGACAAAGAUUGUGAAAGAGGAGUUGUGAAGGGGAACUUAUUAUUCAAGACACAAGGAGUGAGUCUGGCCGAGAAAGCACCAGAGGUGUAAUUAUGGUGUGUGAGACACCAUCUUUUACGUCGCCUCUUAUUUUGAAUUAUACAAUGUAUCUGUGCCAACUUAGGACAUAUCUUC